rnacentral:misc_RNA from 1 species
AUCCCUCAACACGAACCGUUUUUUAAUGAAAGCGAGUUUGAUCGUUGGAUGUGAGCGCAAUGCCUUUCGCAAGAAUGGCUCGCUUGAAAUGGAUUUGUGGGCUGCUCAUGUGCACAACAAUGUGCUCGGAUAGCAUCUUGGCCUUUUCAUCGUUAUGGUUUUCCUUCGAUGAAGUCUGGGCCUUGAGGCAACAUGUUCGAGCGGGCAUUGGCACCGAGUUGGCUUGCUUUCUAACCCAAUCUAAUUCAUCAC